rnacentral:rRNA from 1 species
UACGUAGGGGGCAAGCGUUGUCCGGAAUCAUUGGGCGUAAAGAGCGUGUAGGCGGUUCGGUAAGUCGGCUGUGAAAGUCCAGGGCUCAACCCUGGGAUGCCGGUCGAUACUGCCGGACUAGAGUUCGGAAGAGGCGAGUGGAAUUCCCGGUGUAGCGGUGAAAUGCGCAGAUAUCCGGAGGAACACCAGUGGCGAAGGCGGGUUGCUGGGCUGACACUGACGCUGAUGCGCGAAAGCUAGGGGAGCGAACGGG